rnacentral:misc_RNA from 1 species
GGAUGAAGAACGUAGCGAAAUGCGAUAAGUAGUGUGAAUUGCAGAAUUCAGUGAAUCAUCGAAUCUUUGAACGCACAUUGCGCCCCUUGGUAUCCCGAGGGGCAUGCCUGUUCGAGCGUCAUUUCACCACUCAAGCCUGGCUUGGUGUUGGGCGACGUCCCCUUUAGGGACGCGCCUCGAAACGCUCGGCGGCGUGGCACCGGCUUUAAGCGUAGCAGAAUCUUUCGCUUUGGAAGUCGGGGCCCCGCCUGCCGGAAUACCUACUCGUAAGGUUGACCUCGGAUCAGGCAGGGAUACCCGCUGAACUUAAGCAUAUCAAUAAGCGGAGGA